rnacentral:rRNA from 1 species
AAAGGGAAGCGAGCCUGUGAAGGGGAGCAAAUCCCAAAAAUAACGUCCCAGUUCGGAUUGUAGUCUGCAACCCGACUACAUGAAGCUGGAAUCGCUAGUAAUCGCGGAUCAGAAUGCCGCGGUGAAUACGUUCCCGGGUCUUGUACACACCGCCCGUCACACCAUGGGAGUCGGAAAUGCCCGAAGUCUGUGACCUAACCGUAAGGAAGGAGCAGCCGAAGGCAGGUCGGAUGACUGGGGUGAAGUCGUAACAAGGUACC